GACACACACACGUGCACACCCAUGUGAAAUGAAAGCUGCCUUGAUGUCAGGUUGGAUUUGAGCAACUUCUAACAAAUUUGAAUAAACCAACAAACCUGGCUGCAUGGCAGAUAAGAUGGACAUUUGCAUACAUGCAGUGAUUGAAUUGGAAUAUUGUGAGCCUGACAUGAAUCAGCAGAUACUUCCAAAGCAAUGAUGAUAAUGAUAAUAAAAAGAUAUACAAAUUCCUCUGGCUUCAUACAGACCCUCUUUGCACACAGCUGCAGCCAACACAAGGGAAACCAGAAUGAAAUGUGGUGGGAAGAACCUUGGGAUUUUUAAAUAUCUGCAUAAAGAAGAAAGCAAAAUGAAUUGUUCACUCUGUUUCAAGGUCAGAUUUUGCCAAGAGACUGCUUUUUCAUCCAUUUAAUAAUAAUUCAUACCGUUUAAUGAUAUUUGGCUUAAAUGUUGUGUAUUUCUAAGCCUGGGGAUUUUCAAAUAUAUAAAUUCUGACUUUUUUAAAUGUUAGUACAAUUUCCCCUAUAAAGCAGGAAUUACUUUGUUUUUUAAAAAAGAAAUGCAUAUACACACAUGGUCACACAUGGUUUAAAAAUGGUAAUAUUUCUUCUUUCUGCAUCCCAAACACAAAUAAGAACUAGAGCAGUAGAUCUCCCAAUCUCUGCCAGUUGGAGCAUGAGAAGAAGGCCUUGGGGCAGACUCGGUGAGCCCAAUCGUUAAUCCUCUCUGGCAACCAGGUUCUUCAUAUGGAGAGCCCUAGCUGUACUUGUUUAGAUUUGUUAUCCCAUUUUUCUCCUGUCCUUUUUUCCCUUUUCCAAAGGUGAUUGGAAAAUAACUUUCAUUCCACUCAAACUUCUGGACUUAUUCCAUUUAUCUCAGGAGAUUUUCUUAGUAUUUAGAAAAAUGACAUUGUGAGUCUUGAAAUACUGGGAUUUCAAAGAGAAAUGGUGGCGUGAGAGGGAAUAAGGCACCACCGAGGAUUUU